UACGGGGGGAGCAAGCGUUGUUCGGAUUUACUGGGCGUAAAGGGCGCGUAGGCGGUCAGCACAAGUCAGUUGUGAAAUCUCCGGGCUUAACUCGGAACGGUCAACUGAUACUGUGCGACUAGAGUGCAGAAGGGGCAACUGGAAUUCUUGGUGUAGCGGUGAAAUGCGUAGAUAUCAAGAGGAACACCUGAGGUGAAGACGGGUUGCUGGGCUGACACUGACGCUGAGGCGCGAAAGCUAGGGUAGCAAACGGG
rnacentral:rRNA from 1 species